rnacentral:rRNA from 1 species
GAUCCUGGCUCAGGACGAACGCUGGCGGCGUGCCAAAUACAUACAAGUAGAACGCUGAAGGAGAAGCUUGCUUCUCUGGAUGAGUUGCGAACGGGUGAGUAACGCGUAGGUAACCUGCCUGGUAGCGGGGGAUAACUAUUGGAAACGAUAGCUAAUACCGCAUAAUAGUAGAUGUUGCAUGACAUUUGCUUAAAAGGUGCAAUUGCAUCACUACCAGAUGGACCUGCGUUG